GCAGUGGUUAGUCAUUGAGGGUUGAUUUUCUGGUCAGUCUAGACGCGGUGGUCAUUUUAGGUCAGUUAUAUCUGUUGGUUCUCAUUCAACUUCUAUUUCUUAUUUUACUUGUAGACUCUCUAGUCACUAUUUGCGUGAUUGCCCUAGUCGGGGGGAGGGGGCGAUAGUUGUUUCAGCCCAAGGUGUUUCCCUUAUUAGAUAAAUCCAUCCCUUUAGUUGAGGCGGUUCUCAUGGUCCUAGGGGUGGUUUCUA
rnacentral:lncRNA from 1 species